GACGAACGCUGGCGGCGUGCUUAACACAUGCAAGUCGAACGAAGUGGCGAACGGGUGAGUAACGCGUAAUCAAGCUGCCCGUCAGAGGGGGACAACAGUUGGCAACGACUGCUAAUACCGCAUACUGAAGGAGGGGAUUGCGUCUGAUUAGCUAGGUGGAGGGGUAACGGCCCACCAAGGCGAGGAUCAGUAGCCGGGCUGAGAGGGUGAACGGCCAAAUCGGGACCGAGACAAGGGCCAGACUCCUACGGGGGGCAGGAGUGGGGAAACUUCCGACAUGGACGAAAGGCUGACGGAGCAAAGCCGCGGGAGGGAUGAAGGCCUUCGGGAUGGAAAGCUCUGUUAAGCGGGAAGCGGUACCGGAAUAGAAAGCCACGGCUAACUACGUGCCAGCAGCCGCGGUAAUUC
rnacentral:rRNA from 1 species